GCCCUUCCACCACAUGUUAGGGGUUGUUGGCCCGACGUCCCUCGCAUUUAAUGAAGGCGGCGUGGCCUUUCCGAGAUGGGUGCGCCGAACCGCCAGAUCAAAAGGGGGCCCGGAUGAUGCCACGUGUCGCCCAUCCGAGAAGUCUCGAUCGGUGCGGCGUCAUCUCGACCGUCGAACAGCCCUAUAUAUAUGGGGCCACUUGUACUCGAAGUUCCAUUUCUGAUGGUUUUGCUGUGGAGACUCUGCCCAAGCGGUCUCUUAGUCGUCGACGGCAGCUGCGCCCACCCCC
rnacentral:lncRNA from 1 species